ACCUGGAUUUCCUGAGGUCUCCAAGGUCUGAGCUCACCCCCGCUUCUUGGAAGGGGCAGCGUGAGCUGAGAGUGGCUUCCAGUGCUCUCUCCUCUAACACCUCCCCUUGACCCCUGCAGGCAAGUGUCCCUCUGCAAGUCAGUGUUUCUCCCCACACCAUUUGAUGUGUGAAUAUCAGAUCCUAAUGCCAGGAGCUCAAGCGUCCUCUUCUGGGUCUCAUCUCUGUUUUUCUGGGGCCCACCUCUCUGGGAUGACCCGUGUUCUCUUCAGCCUCACCUGGGGGACUCACUGGACCGGCUUGGUAAUGGAAUUGAAGAAAUCUGAAUCAAUCGUCUGAUGUGUGGUGACUAAGCUUGCAACGUGCCAAGUGUCCCUCAGGAGAGGCCUGGGACGGCUGGGCCUGAAUGCCAGCUCUGCGUGCUGGAGACCAUUCCCAGGCAGAGCCGCCGAUAAAAGAAGAAGCGGAGUACUUUGAGAGCGCCGUUGUAUGCAACUCAUCUGUACAGAAUGGAACAGAACUGCAAAGCCACGAGAGAGAAGUUGAGUACCUUGAGACCACCACUGCAUGAGGCAUAUUUGUACAGAAUAGAACAGAUCUAUAUGAUCUUACGAAAAUCAAGGCCUCGGAGGAGAAGACAACAGUGUUAACAAGAAGGGUGGCGUCACGGGGAUGCCAGCAGCAGCAGUAGAAGCCGAAGCAGAAGCCGAGAAGCAGCAGAACGAACGCCAGAAAGUCCAGAUAGAGUGAAGACUUGCUGGGAGCUGGGAGUCCUGCCAGCCUCCCAGCCCCCCAGCCAGCAUCCCUGCCUGCCAUAUGCCUGGUGAACCCCAAUAAAAGACCUGCAAAACCACUGAGGACUCUGACUCCUCCUUUACCCGGUCUGCAUGGGAUCAGAGAACCUGCACUGUGUCCUGUCCUGCCCUUACAAUUGGCGUAAGUCGGCAGGAUCCAUGCAGACGGGUAUUGGAGCCCUCUGAAGACCUGGAGGGACUAAGGAGAACAGGCUGCUUGCCUGUGACGACGUUGGAGGCGCCAUGGCGGCACAGAAGGUGGAUACGGUCCGGAGCUGUGGGACGAGACCUCGCAUGGAGGAGACACCCGAGAGGACCAGCCAACGACACUGGAAAGGACCAGCCAAUGACCCCUGAGGCAGCAGGCCGUUGCUGAAGCAGGGAGAGGCCAAUGGACUUGAACUGAUGGACUGAUGGACUGACAUUCCCGCCAGAAGGCGGAGGACCUUGCAGGUUGAUAUGUUUUGGGACCCUGGGGGUGGAACAGUCUUGUUUGUAAACCCCAGGAGAUGGGAAUCUAGGGGUGGCCAGUGGGCCUAGAUGGCCAAAAGCAGCCUGUGCAUGCCCAGCAGCCAGGUGGAGGAGAAAAGCCAACUAAGAAGGCAAAAGCUGGUACUGAUGCUAAGUUGAGAAGCCCUAAGCGGCUGUUAAGCAGCCUGGGUAUGCUGAAGCCCUGUGAGUCUCGUAAAAUCACCUGUGGGUGAUGCCCUGCUCAUCUUGAGUGAGGGUGAGGAGCUGAGGAACCUGUCCUUGGGGGACGGGUGGGGAACGUGG